CGAAGGGAGCGAGCGUUGUUCGGAAUCACUGGGCUUAAAGCGUGCGUAGGCGGAUUUAUAAGUCAGAAGUGAAAUCCCCGGGCUUAACCCGGGAACUGCUUUUGAGACUGUGAGUCUAGAAUUCGGUAGAGGUUAGUGGAAUGUCCAGUGUAGAGGUGAAAUUCGCAGAUAUUGGACGGAACACCAGUGGCGAAGGCGACUAACUGGGCCGAUAUUGACGCUGAGGUACGAAAGCGUGGGUAGCAAACAGGAUUAGAUACCCUGGUAGUCCACGCUGUAAACUAUGUAUGCUAGCUGUUGGAGCCCUCAGGGUUCCGGCGGCGGAGAGAAAUCAUUAAGCAUACCGCCUGGGGAGUACGGUCGCAAGAUUA
rnacentral:rRNA from 1 species